ACCAGACCUAGAGGUUUUCCCUGACCUCACCAUGUGGCCUAACCAGGAAAACCUCUGGGCCUUUCCUAUUACCAGACCUAGAGGUUUUCCCUGACCUGACCAUGUGGCCUAACCAGGAAAACCUCUGGGCCUUUCCUAUUACCAGACCUAGAGGUUUUCCCUGACCUCACCAUGUGGCCUAACCAGGAAAACCUCUGGGCCUUUCCUAUUACCAGACCUAGAGGUUUUCCCUGACCUCAUGACCUCACCAUGUGGCCUAACCAGGAAAACCUCAGAGAGAGGGAGGCCUCGAAACAGUCCUAUUUUCGUCAUUCAUACAAUAUUGGAUUUUGAGGCGAUGCAUUGUUGCAUACAAACCAAAUAAAACAAAAGCCUUUUCUCAAUUAGAUUUGCUCAACUCCUGCGUCCUCUCUCGCCUCAUUUUCAAAAAGGUCAAAGGUAAUCGAGGAGAGGCGGCGAGCAGGGAACGUGGACGAAAAUGCUACUUGUAUGAAAUGAGACUCCUCUCCACUCACACGCCACCAGGCAAAUUGUUUACAGGGUGGAAUCCCAAAAUAAAUGUGUAAAGUGAUUUUUUAAAAACUUUUCAAAACUCUUCCACGAAGGACUCAGGUAGGACACACAUGACUAUCCUUGAUGAAAGGUGACUAUUGAGGAAGGGAGGACACUCUUCCAUUUACCUACUAACAAAUUGACACUCCUCGACCACUUAUUGGUUUCUGGGUGACGGAGGAGAGUGGACAGACUUUUUCCCAAAUGAGAAAAGGCCAUACAUACAUACACCCAUCCAUCCAUCCAUCCAUCCAGAGGAGUCUGUCCUUAUAGCGGUUUAUACUGCAGCCUCUCUUAGGCCAGAGGGAAAAGUUAGUUCAGUAAAA